GAUGAAGAACGCAGCGAAAUGCGAUAAGUAAUGUGAAUUGCAGAAUUCAGUGACUCAUCGAAUCUUUGAACGCACAUUGCGCCCGCCAGUAUUCUGGCGGGCAUGCCUGUCCGAGCGUCAUUUCAACCCUCAAGCCCCCGGGCUUGGUGUUGGAGAUCGGCGAGCCCCCCGGGGCGCGCCGUCUCCCAAAUAUAGUGGCGGUCCCGCUGUAGCUUCCUCUGCGUAGUAGCACACCUCGCACUGGGAAACAGCGUGGCCACGCCGUAAAACCCCCCACUUCUGAAAGGUUGACCUCGGAUCAGGUAGGAAUACCCGCUGAACUUAAGCAUAUCAAUAAGCGGAGGA
rnacentral:misc_RNA from 1 species